UACGAAGGGUGCUAGCGUUGCUCGGAAUCACUGGGCGUAAAGCGCACGUAGGCGGCUUGCUAAGUCAGGGGUGAAAUCCUGGAGCUCAACUCCAGAACUGCCUUUGAUACUGGCGAUCUUGAGUCCGGGAGAGGUGAGUGGAACUGCGAGUGUAGAGGUGAAAUUCGUAGAUAUUCGCAAGAACACCAGUGGCGAAGGCGGCUCACUGGCCCGGUACUGACGCUGAGGUGCGAAAGCGUGGGGAGCAAACAGG
rnacentral:rRNA from 1 species